GACGAACGCUGGCGGCGUGCCUAAUACAUGCAAGUUGAGCGCUGAAGGCUGGUACUUGUACCAACUGGAUGAGCAGCGAACGGGUGAGUAACGCGUGGGGAAUCUGCCUUUGAGCGGGGGACAACAUUUGGAAACGAAUGCUAAUACCGCAUAAAAACUUUAAACACAAGUUUUAAGUUUGAAAGAUGCAAUUGCAUCACUCAAAGAUGAUCCCGCGUUGUAUUAGCUAGUUGGUGAGGUAAAGGCUCACCAAGGCGAUGAUACAUAGCCGACCUGAGAGGGUGAUCGGCCACAUUGAGACUGAGACACGGCCCAAACUCCUACGGGAGGCAGCAGUAGGGAAUCGUCGGCAAUGGACGAAAGUCUGACCGAGCAACGCCGCGUGAGUGAAGAAGGUUUUCGGAUCGUAAAACUCGGUUGGUAGAGAAGAACGUUGGUGAGAGUGGAAAGCUCAUCAAGUGACGGUAACUACCCAGAAAGGGACGGCUAACUACGUG
rnacentral:rRNA from 1 species